GAUGAACGCUGGCGGCGUGCCUAAUACAUGCAAGUCGAGCGAACAGACGAGGGGCUUGCUCCUUCGACGUUAGCGGCGGACGGGUGAGUAACACGUAGGUAACCUACCUAUAAGACUGGGAUAACUUCGGGAAACCGGAGCUAAUACCGGAUAAUAUUUCGAACCGCAUGGUUCGAUAGUGAAAGAUGGCUUUGCUAUCACUUAUAGAUGGACCUGCGCCGUAUUAGCUAGUUGGUAAGGUAACGGCUUACCAAGGCAACGAUACGUAGCCGACCUGAGAGGGUGAGCGGCCACACUGGAACUGAGACACGGUCCAGACUCCUACGGGAGGCAGCAGUAGGGAAUCUUCCGCAAUGGGCGAAAGCCUGACGGAGCAACGCCGCGUGAGUGGUGAAGGUCUUCGGAUCGUAAGACUCUGUUAUUAGGGAAGAACAAACGUGUAAGUAACUGUGCACGUCUUGACGGUACCUAAUCAGAAAGCCACGGCUAACUACGUGCCAGCAGCCGCCGUAA
rnacentral:rRNA from 1 species